rnacentral:misc_RNA from 1 species
UCUCCGUAGGUGAACCUGCGGAGGGAUCAUUACAGAGACUCUGCCCUUUGGGUAGACCUCCCACCCUGUGCCGUUAUACCUCCGUUGCUUUGGCGGGCCGCGGGGCCCCGGCCCCGCCCCUGGCUCCGGCUAGGGCGCGCCCGCCAGAGGACCUCAAAACCUGAAUGUUAGUGUCGUCUGAGUACUAUAUAAUAGUUAAAACUUUCAACAACGGAUCUCUUGGUUCUG